AAGUCGUAACAAGGUUUCCGUAGGUGAACCUGCGGAAGGAUCAUUACUGAAUUAAAGAGAGUUGAUGCUGGCGUUCACUCGUAUGUGCUCACUCUCCUAAUCCAUUUACACCUGUGCACCCUUUCGAAGAAGGCAAGGCUCUCAGAAGCCUCUGAUUUAUCAGAGGUAGAUAAGAGUCUUCCUUCUUUGAACUACAUACCCUUAUUUUAAUAAUGAAUGUUAAUCUGCCGAAAGGCGAAAUAAAUACAACUUUUAACAACGGAUCUCUUGGCUCUC
rnacentral:misc_RNA from 1 species